GCUCAGGAUGCUGCCCUCGCGACCCGAACCCCGGAGAAGCGGAAGAUGAUGGAUGGAUGGAUGGAUACAUGUAUGUAAUAUAUAUGUUGUGUAUUACCUGAACAAAGAUAACCAAAGGACCAGUCCAUGAAGCGAAAGAGUCGAGACCAGAUAUAAGGUGUCAAGUUAUUGAGAAUCACAGGUUCGGCUAGAUUCCGGUUCCUCCUGUUAAGGUGUUUAGCUCUCAACACAAAGCGAACCCCAUGCAGUGCCACUACUGUAAAAUUUCAACACCACAACAAGACAUCCUAUUCGAGCACUACAGACUUCAUCAUUGGCAAGCUGGCUCUGGACCAGCUUCUCCUUCACAGACAGUGAACUGUCGUAGCUCUACUACUCUGCCCUGAGAGAUGUUAUGGUGAAGGAGGAAUAUCAGACAAUCCAUGAUAGGUACCUGAAGGGGAAUCUGUCUCUCACCAUCACUGACUUCACCCAGAUGGACUGAUACACAUGCACCUGCAAUAACAAGGACAUCUGUGAUGUGGCUCUUCAACUGGAGCAUGAGUCCUGACUGAUCUUUCACCAUUCAUUUCUGACAGAAGCCAGUGGUCUAAAUGCUUUGUUUUUCUCCUCAGCUUUGAGGUCGUCAGUUCAGAUAAAACCUGAUGGUCCUAGUUUUGGACUUAUAACAGCACAGAUGGAGUGAAUGGAUCCCAGUGGUACAGACGCUCAUUGGAGUGCAUGCCAUGGAUCUGCUCGAGCUGAAAGGACUGACAGUGGAGUUUACACCAUAAAUGUCACCAGGAGCAAAGCAGUUAAUCAAGUCUACACAGUGACUAUCCAAGGUACGAUUCCAUUUUCCUGAAAAUAUUUCCCCAAGAUUGCAUGCUUGUCAAUGUAAUAUUUAAAAAAAAAAAAGAUGUCAGAAAUUUCAAGCAACUGCUGAACUAAGUAAUCCAUUAAGACUCACUGUACAUUUGUGUGUGGUUUUGUAGAUGAUCUGCCACAUCCAGAUGGAAAUCAGGUGCUAGUAGUGCCAGUGUGGCUGAUCAUAUUGCUUAUAUUGCUAGUGGUGCUGAUGGACGCUGUUUCUGUAAUGUGAUGGAGGAAUAUUUUUAUGCAGCGCUGGAUCAAUAUGGUUGGAGGUGUACAAAAAAGUGGUUUAAAAAAAAAAGGUUGUCCCUUCCCAGUAAUAACAACAAAUCCUAAAACCUUUGGUACACUGCACAUCCUUUAAAAUCAUAUCAGAUUAUAAAAAGACUGGCGGCUUAGAAGAUGGAUGGAUGGAUGGCUUGUUCCUGCAUUCUCAGAAAUAAAGGUACUAAACGA